UCAGUCGACUCCUACGGGAGGCAGCAGUGGGGAAUCUUAGACAAUGGGCGCAAGCCUGAUCUAGCCAUGCCGCGUGAGUGAUGAAGGCCUUAGGGUCGUAAAGCUCUUUCGCCAGGGGAUGAUAAUGACAGUACCUGGUAAAGAAACCCCGGACUAACUCCGUGCCAGCAGCCGCGGUAAUACGGAGGGGUUAGCGUUGUUCGGAAUUACUGGGCGUAAAGCGCGCGUAGGCGGAUUAGUCAGUUAGAGGUGAAAUCCCAGGGCUCAACCCUGGAACUGCCUUUAAUACUGCUAGUCUUGAGUUCGAGAGAGGUGAGUGGAAUUCCGAGUGUAGAGGUGAAAUUCGUAGAUAUUCGGAGGAACACCAGUGGCGAAGGCGGCUCACUGGCUCGAUACUGACGCUGAGGUGCGAAAGUGUGGGGAGCAAACAGGAUUAGAUACCCUGGUAG
rnacentral:rRNA from 1 species